UAUGUCCAGAAUUGUUGCUUCACACUAUUUGCUGAUUCGGUUUGGUUUGCAUUGGUUUUGAAAUUAAAACUGAUUUCGGUUCGGUUUCAUUGGUUUUGUGGAAAAAAACUAAAAGAGUCACGCGAUGGAGAAUUUGGAGAGAUGUGCGUCGAUAAAAAAAAGCAUGAAUUGGAAAAGGGUUUACCCACAGAAUCGCUUUCACUCGCUCAACGCGCUCUUUCUGCGAUUCGCCCAGACAGGAAAUCAAACUCAUACUAUGCAUGUAGCUAGUGUUGUUCUGUUGACCCUAUAAAGCCUUUACUUUUACUCUAGUCAGCUUAUAGUUGCAUUCUUUA